CCUACGGGGGGCAGCAGUGAGGAAUAUUGGUCAAUGGGCGCGAGCCUGAACCAGCCAAGUAGCGUGAAGGAUGACUGCCCUACGGGUUGUAAACUUCUUUUAUAAGGGAAUAAAGUGUGGGACGUGUCCUGUUUUGUAUGUACCUUAUGAAUAAGGAUCGGCUAACUCCGUGCCAGCAGCCGCGGUAAUACGGAGGAUCCGAGCGUUAUCCGGAUUUAUUGGGUUUAAAGGGUGCGUAGGCGGCCUUUUAAGUCAGCGGUGAAAGUCUGUGGCUCAACCAUAGAAUUGCCGGUGAAACUGGGAGGCUUGAGUAUGUUUGAGGCAGGCGGAAUGCGUGGUGUAGCGGUGAAAUGCUUAGAUAUCACGCAGAACCCCGAUUGCGAAGGCAGCCUGCCAAGCCAUGACUGACGCUGAUGCACGAAAGCGUGGGGAUCAAACAGGAUUAGAUACCCGGGUAGUC
rnacentral:rRNA from 1 species